AUUGAACGCUGGCGGCAUGCCUUACACAUGCAAGUCGAACGGCAGCGGACCUUCGGGUGCCGGCGAGUGGCGAACGGGUGAGUAAUGCAUCGGAACGUGCCAUUGAGUGGGGAUAACGUAGCGAAAGUUACGCUAAUACCGCAUAUUCUGUGAGCAGGAAAGCAGGGGAUCGCAAGACCUUGCGCUGAUUGAGCGGCCGAUAUCAGAUUAGCUAGUUGGUGAGGUAAAGGCUCACCAAGGCGACGAUCUGUAGCGGGUCUAAGAGGAUGAUCCGCCACACUGGAACUGAGACACGGUCCAGACUCCUACGGGAGGCAGCAGUGGGGAAUUUUGGACAAUGGGGGCAACCCUGAUCCAGCCAUGCCGCGUGAGUGAAGAAGGCCUUCGGGUUGUAAAGCUCUUUCGGCCGGGAAGAAAUCGCAUGGGUGAAUACCCUGUGUGGAUGACGGUACCGGAACAAGAAGCACCGGCUAACUACGUG
rnacentral:rRNA from 1 species